GACGACUUGCCGGUAUCUACCAGGCCUUUCUCUCGAUUCUACUGCUCCUGUUCGCCUAUUAAUGAAGGGCGGUCACUGUACCUGUUUUGCAUCUGAUGAAUAUCAGAGAGCCGUGAGCGAACUGAAGAAAAUGCACACCAAGUUCCGGGAGUUAAGCUGAAAGUUCUCCACAAGAAUUGUGACACGCAAGUUCGAUACUAAAGAACGCGAAAAAGCCUUUUUGUAUCAAAAUCCGCAAAC